CGUUUCAGGAAUACGGAAGUCCUCGCUACACACACGGGCGCGGAAUUUCAAAGCUGUUUGGAAAAGAAAUUAAACGACAUGGCUGAAAGUUACUCCAAGUCCAAACUGAAGCGAAAAAAGUCUUCUGUGGAAGAACUCCAAGCAGACACACGUUCCAGAGGAACACCGAAGAGGAGCCAAACACCGCUGUUCUCCGGUAACAGCACAGUCAAGACUGACGGGUGUGCAGCUCCUGCAGCAGCGUGGUGGAACAGACAGCAGCUUUCACCUGUGGAGAACCUGUGGGCGUUGACACUGAAGUGUGCGCUGCCGUACCUGGAGAACCAGCACUGGGACCUGGUUCCUGAUCUUCCACAUCCAUCUGCACCUAGACCUGCAGUGCUUACAUUAGAUGAACUGUGGUGGUGUGACCACAGCACUGAGGUGGCUCCGUUCCCUGAACCCUCUCCACCUUGUCCAAGUCUAGAUCCUCCCAGGCUCAGCUCCUCACAGCAGGACCUUUCAGUACAAACCACACCUGUAUCAGACCUGUCUGACAGGCGGCCGUCCUCUCACAGCAGUCCUAAAAGGAAUCCGACGUCUCUACGGCCAUCUGUCCCCAACUGGGAGGAGGCAGCUUUGUCAGCUCGACCAUCCAGCACUAGAGGAGAGGAAGAGAGCGGACCGGUCAGCAGGCAACUUGUCACAGAGCUGGUGGAGGUGUGCGACAGCGCAGCUCCUCUGCAGAAGGAAGGGACAAAUAAAGAGGAAGAGGCGGUGCAGAGGAGUGUCACAGAAGGUGGAGGAACAGGUGGAGGAGGCUUGAAGGACUGCCCCAUGUGUCUGCUGGUGUUUCCUGUUGGGUUCACCCAGAUGGACCGUGAUGGCCACCUGGCCCAGUGUCUGUCAGAGAUGAAUGUGGACAUGACGUGGUGAGCUGGCAGCUGUCCAGGAGCUACAAGCAGCCCAGAUGCCCCACACACUCGUGGAGAUGGAGGCGGACGCACCCACAGAGCAGCUCACUGAGGUACUGACAGAGGCUCUGCAGCGAGAAGUGGGAGGACAGUCUUACAUCACGGAACACUGUUACACAUGGGGUACUGUGAAAACUCGACCACAGACGACAUCCAGCUAUGAAAGAGGAUCACAAAGCAAAAGGACAAUCAGCCCACCUCGUCCUCUACUCACUCACUAUACAAGGAUUUCUAAGAAGAUACUUCACACAUUAAGAUGUUUAACGAUCAUGUGCAUCCAAACACAUGUUCUCUCUAAAUGAUCAUUUCUUUAGAAACCUGUCAGUUUUUCUCCCGGAGCAGUGUCUAGAUGUGGUUCAGUCUGAUUUACAUUAAAACAAGAAUCUUAAUAUUCAAACAUGAAGUACCCAACUUCUCCUGCAAACAAUAUCAACACAACAUAUAUGUCUAUAUGUAUAAAAAAAGGUUCAGAGCUCUGUGGUAAACAUCCGAUGCUCUGUCACAUCUGAGUGAUUAUAUUAUAUUUCCAUUAUUCCAUAUUUCUUCCAAAAAAGAAAAAAAAGGAACAAGGUUGUUCACGGAAAACAGUAUCAUUUUUAAUAAUUACAAAUAUUUACAAAGAUGCAGUGAAGUCAAAUCAAGCAGAUCCAACCAGCAGUAUGUUAAAACAAAAGUCAUUCGUCUUUCUUUUAGGUGCAUGAAUGGCCUCCAGUGGCCUGUAAUGUGGAUUUUAAGGACUCUCGUUUCAUCCAUUGGUCCCUCAAGAAACUAAAAUGUGUCAGCUGGCGUGCAAGAAGGUCAACAAAAACACAACAUUAAUAAAAUACAGCAAAUGAGAUGGAGUUGUGGGGCG
ensembl:lncRNA FA core complex associated protein 20